rnacentral:rRNA from 1 species
AGUGAACGCUGGCGGCAGGCUUAACACAUGCAAGUCGAACGUUAACGCACCUUCGGGUGUUAUUAAAGUGGCAAACGGGUGAGUAACACGUGGGAACGUACCUUUCAGUCUAGGAUAGCCCCGGGAAACUGGGAUUAAUACUGGAUAUUCUCUACGGAGGAAAGAUUUAUCGCUGAAAGAUCGGCCCGCGUUAGAUUAGUUUGUUGGUGAGGUAACGGCUCACCAAGACUACGAUCUAUAGCUGGUCUGAGAGGAUGAUCAGCCACACUGGGACUGAGAUACGGUCCAG